rnacentral:miRNA from 1 species
UGAUGAUGAUGAUGAUGAUGAUGAUGAUGAUGAAUAGGAUCAUCAUCAUCAUAUCUUGGAAA